rnacentral:rRNA from 1 species
UACGUAGGGUGCAAGCGUUAAUCGGAAUUACUGGGCGUAAAGCGUGCGCAGGCGGCUUUGCAAGACAGAUGUGAAAUCCCCGGGCUUAACCUGGGAACUGCAUUUGUGACUGCAUGGCUGGAGUGCGGCAGAGGGGGAUGGAAUUCCGCGUGUAGCAGUGAAAUGCGUAGAUAUCGGAAGGAACACCAGUGGCGAAAGCGGCUUCCUGGUCCAGCACCGACGUUCAGGCACGAAAGCGUGGGGAGCAAACAGG